GCCGGAUUAGCACAGUGGUAGUGCAACCGCCUUGUAAGCGGUAGGUCAUCUGUUCGAAUCAGAUAUCCGGCACCA
rnacentral:tRNA from 1 species